rnacentral:rRNA from 1 species
UCGGGAAUUUUGGGCAAUGGGCGAAAGCCUGACCCAGCAACGCCGCGUGAAGGAUGAAGUCUUUCGGGAUGUAAACUUCGUAAGAAUAGGAAGAAUAAAUGACGGUACUAUUUGUAAGGUCCGGCUAACUACGUGCCAGCAGCCGCGGUAAUACGUAGGGACCAAGCGUUGUUCGGAUUUACUGGGCGUAAAGGGCGCGUAGGCGGCGUGUUAAGUCAGCUGUGAAAUCUCCAAGCUUAACUUGGAACGGUCAGCUGAUACUGAUGUGCUAGAGUGCGAGGAGGA